UGCUAUGAUGAUGUAAUUUGCGUCUUACCCAGUGUUCAGCGACAGUUGCCUGCUGUCAACAUGCUGGCACUGUUGAGCUGAAGACACCUCCGUUCUGAGCA
rnacentral:snoRNA from 1 species